rnacentral:antisense_RNA from 1 species
GGCCAGAUCGAGCGGAGAAAUGGUGUGUUGUCCUUGAAUCGAAGGAAGACACUUAAAGAUGAAGUGCUUAAUUCAAGGUCACAGAAUGUCGGGGAUGGACCUCCAGAUUUCCUUACUGGAAAACAAGCUCAGGGCUCCCACUGAUUGUACAUUAUGAGACAGAGUCUUCUUGCUAUGUUGCCCAGGCUGGUCUUGAACUCCUAACCUCAAGCGAUCCUCCCAUCUUGGCCUCCCAGGUGUCAGGAUUACAGGCAUGUGCUAUCACACCCAACCUGAUACAUUGCCUUUAUAAAUUUUUUUUUCUUUAUUCUAAAAAACAGAAAAAACAAAACUGGAUACAUGUGCAGAACAUGCAGCAGGGAAUUUCUUCCACUUGCAGACCAAGUGUGUUGGGGACUUGAGAUAUGUACAUGAGUGUUUGUGAUGUUUCCUGGUGAAAGCACAGGUGAGACGUGGUCUUGUAACACAGUGGUUAAGAAUGUGACUUUGGAGCCAGCCUGCUAGGGGCUGAAUUCUGACUCAGCCAUUUAUUAACUGUGUGACCUUAGGGAGGAGGACCUGGUUGAUAGAAGAAUUUAUCUCAUAGUCUUAACAUCCACUGUAAUUCCGAACUUUGAGGACGAUAGAGAUCAGUGGGCUUUGACUGCCCAGCAUGCAGUCUCCAUUCUUAGGUAGGUUCCCAAGCCUGUAAAAUGUAAGUCUUAUGUUGCUGAGGGCCAUCUUGCCACCCCGAGGGGAACGCUGCCUGAGAAUGAAACCAGCAUAAGUAAAAGCUGAGCUGUGAGAUGGAGUGAGAUGAAGGCCACAUGACAUCUUUGGAGCACCUGGAUCUAACUGUGCCUUAAGCUAGUCUAACCCUGAACAUU